rnacentral:rRNA from 1 species
ACACGCAUGACACACUGCAUAUCAAUAAGCGGAGGAAAAGAAACUAACAAGGAUUCCCUUAGUAACGGCGAGUGAAGCGGGAAGAGCUCAAAUUUGAAAUCUUCAAGGUUCUACCUUGACGAAUUGUAGUUUAUAGAAGUGUUUUCUGUUAGUAGAGUGGCAAAAGUUCUUUGGAAUAGGACAUCAUAGAGGGUGAGAAUCCCGUAUUUGGUCAUUCUUUCUAGCUUUGUGAUACACUAUCAACGAGUCGGAUUGUUUGGGAAUGCAGUCCAAAAUGGGUGGUAAAUUUCAUCUAAAGCUAAAUAUUGGCGAGAGACCGAUAGCGAACAAGUACCGUGAGGGAAAGAUGAAAAGAACUUUGAAAAGAGAGUUAAACAGUACGUGAAAUUGUCAAAAGGGAAGCGUUUGACACCAGUGUUGUUUUUCCGAAAAUCAAUUACGAAUGUUUUAUUUUUGAGGAGUUAUGACUUCAUCGGCUUGCUUCUUUCUUUACGAAACUUUCUUAAUGCACUUUUCGGUUAACAAGUCAACAUCAAUUUCUUUUGUUGUAAAAGGGUAUGAGGAAGGUGGCUUUCUUUUCGGAGAAAGUGUUUAUAGCCUUGUACCUCUGCAAUCGGAGAGAUUGAGGUCUGCAGCGUAGAUCCUUCGGGGUUAGAUACAUUUGUGCUAAGUUAUAGCUUUUCAUAGACAACUUGUUGACUAUGUUAAGUCUUGUAGCUUACUCGCUUAUGCUAUUUUACCUACGCUUAGGAUGUUGACUGAUAUGUAGUCGU